CCUACGGGAGGCAGCAGUGAGGAAUAUUGGACAAUGGCCGGAAGGCUGAUCCAGCCAUGCCGCGUGCGGGACGACGGCCCUAUGGGUUGUAAACCGCUUUUGCGAGGGAGCAAUAAGAGCCACGUGUGACUCGAUGAGAGUACCUCGCGAAUAAGCAUCGGCUAACUCCGUGCCAGCAGCCGCGGUAAU
rnacentral:rRNA from 1 species